GGCGGGAAAUUUACCGAUUCACAUUAUACACCAAAGGAUUAGUUGCAUUUGGUCAUUAAUUUUUAACUGAAUAUAUUUAAUGCUUGUCGAUGAUUCCAGCAGUUUUAGUCAUAAUUAAAUUACAUUCGGAAUCAGCGACCAACAUACAUCGAAUAAUUAUUGUGAUUAUUUUGAGACACCGGCCGGUCGACCUUCCGUUGCGGUUCAGAUGCGAAAUGCGAUAACAAAAGUUCUAACUCAAUAACCGGUCUCCUUGACUCAAAUCUCGACGUGGGUUGAUAUACUUUCCGGGAAAUUUGCACCCGCAGGUACUUGCUCUCAUUGUUACAGCAGACAGACCAGACUGGAUUUCUAAACCGGUUCCAUUGGAAGAUAUGACUGAUUUAGUCAAUGCGAUUCAGUGACGCAAAUAUCUGAAAGAUUAAGAUUAGGUGUUUAUAAGAUUUAGGAUUGAAAUAUUUAAUUAAUUUUAAAUUGAUGUCUUUUUAACAAAUUAAUUACAAUGUUGCAAGAUAAGUAAAAUUUAAAUUGUGAUUACAUUAAACUUCUUUAGGAUCUUUUGAUUAUUCCGCACACUUUUGUGGUUGUUUCAUGUAAUACAAGUCGUUCUAGUAGAAUAUAUUAAUAUUAACUAAACUGGAA